GGGCACAUGGUCUAGGGGUAUGAUUGUAAGUAAAUGGUUGGUUUCUCUGCUUAGCAGAUUCUAAUAGUGAUAGUUCGCUUCGCAUAAGCAUGGGAUUGUGAAAGGUCGUGGGUUCAAUUCCCACUGUGUCCA